AGGCACUGUUGCUGGAGCACAGGGAUUUUAUAGGGCUGGACUAUCCUUCCUUGUACAUGUGCAAACCCAAAAGAGGCGUAAAGAGGGACGAAAGCAAGGAAACAUAUAAGCUGCCACAUAGAUUGAUAGAGAAGAAGAGGCGAGACAGGAUUAACGAAUGCAUUGCCCAGCUGAAGGAUUUACUGCCCGAGCAUCUGAAACUGAC